UUUGAUAAAUUUUUUUACACCGUUAAAUAUGAAUUUCAGAUUGCCGAAUUACAGAGUUUCCUUACUUCCUUCAUCCACACAUAUAAAUUAAGCCCAAUUCAACAAAGCCCACAAUAAUGCGCGUCUUCGGGAAGUGCAGUUUUUGCUUUAUGGGAAUUCAGAGGAUUCGCUUUGGAGAAGAGUGGAGUCCCUCCGCAAGAGCUGAUAGCAAGUUUGCGCUCACUUGCUCUCAGCUCUGCAAUCAGUCAGGCUGUUGUGCCGACGCAGAGUGCUAACCCUGUAUUAGAUUGUGCAGGAGAACAAAUAAGAAAAUUAUCCGGUGGAUUAUUGGGUGAGCUUCACGUUAA